AUGGGCGCAAGCCUGAUGCAGCCAUGCCGCGUGUAUGAAGAAGGCCUUCGGGUUGUAAAGUACUUUCAGCAGUGAGGAAGGUGGUGUCGUUAAUAGCGGCAUCAUUUGACGUUAGCUGCAGAAGAAGCACCGGCUAACUCCGUGCCAGCAGCCGCGGUAAUACGGAGGGUGCGAGCGUUAAUCGGAAUUACUGGGCGUAAAGCGCAUGCAGGUGGUUUGUUAAGUCAGAUGUGAAAGCCCGGGGCUCAACCUCGGAAUUGCAUUUGAAACUGGCAGACUAGAGUACUGUAGAGGGGGGUAGAAUUUCAGGUGUAGCGGUGAAAUGCGUAGAGAUCUGAAGGAAUACCGGUGGCGAAGGCGGCCCCCUGGACAGAUACUGACACUCAGAUGCGAAAGCGUGGGGAGCAAACAGGAUUAGAUACCCUGGUAGUCCACGCCGUAAACGAUGUCUACUUGGAGGUUGUGGCCUUGAGCCGUGGCUUUCGGAGCUAACGCGUUAAGUAGACCGCCUGGG
rnacentral:rRNA from 1 species